rnacentral:tRNA from 1 species
AGCGGGUUGGGGAAGCCAGGCCUAUCCCGCGGGGCUCAUAACCCCGAAAUCGGAAGUUCAAAUCUUCCACCCGCUACCA